rnacentral:rRNA from 1 species
CUUGCUUUCUUUGCUGGCGACCGGCGCGCGGGUGAGUAACACGUAUCCAACCUGCCCUUUACUCGGGGAUAGCCUUUCGAAAGAAAGAUUAAUACCCGAUAGCAUAAUGAUUCCGCAUGGUUUCAUUAUUAAAGGAUUCCGGUAAAGGAUGGGGAUGCGUCCCAUUAGGUUGUUGGUGAGGUAACGGCCCACCAAGCCUUCGAUGGAUAGGGGUUCUGAGGGGAAGGUCCCCCACAUUGGAACUGAGACACGGUCCAA